rnacentral:rRNA from 1 species
ACUCAAAGGAAUUGACGGGGGCCCGCACAAGCGGUGGAACAUGUGGUUUAAUUCGAUGCAACGCGAAGAACCUUACCUGGGCUUGACAUCCUCGGAACCUUCCAGAGAUGGAGGGGUGCCUUCGGGAACCGAGAGACAGGUGGUGCACGGUUGUCGUCAGCUCGUGUCGUGAGAUGUUGGGUUAAGUCCCGCAACGAGCGCAACCCCCGUUGUCUGUUGCUACAGGCUGCAAAGUGCUGAGCACUCAGGCGAGACUGCCGGUGACAAACCGGAGGAAGGUGGGGAUGACGUCAAAUCAUCAUGCCCCUUAUGUCCAGGGCGACACACGUGUUACAAUGGGAUAGAACAACGGGCAGCUAGCCAGCGAUGGUCUGCUAAUCCCUUAAAUCUACCCUCAGUUCGGAUUGGAGUCUGCAACUCGACUCCAUGAAGUCGGAAUCGCUAGUAAACGCGGAUCAGCCAUGCCGCGUUGAAUACGUUCCCGGGCCUUGUACACACCGCCCGU